rnacentral:rRNA from 1 species
GAUGAACGCUGGCGGCGUGCCUAAUACAUGCAAGUCGAGCGAACGGACGAGAAGCUUGCUUCUCUGAUGUUAGCGGCGGACGGGUGAGUAACACGUGGAUAACCUACCUAUAAGACUGGGAUAACUUCGGGAAACCGGAGCUAAUACCGGAUAAUAUCUUGAACCGCAUGGUUCAAAAGUGAAAGACGGUCUUGCUGUCACUUAUAGAUGGAUCCGCGCUGCAUUAGCUAGUUGGUAAGUUAACGGCUUACCAAGGCAACGAGGCAUAGCCGACCUGAGAGGGUGGUCGGCCACCCUGGAACGGAGCCACGGACCAGACGCCUGCGGGAGGCAGCAGUAGGGAAUCUUACGCAAUGGGCGAAAGCCUGACGGAGCAGCGCCGCGUGAGUGAUGAAGGUCUUCGGAGCGUAAAGCUCUGUUAUUAGGGAAGAACAUAUGUGUAAGUAACUGAGCACAGCGUGACGGUACCUAAUCAGAAAGCCACGGCUAACUACGUG